UACGGAGGGUGCAAGCAUUAAUCGGAUUUAUUGGGCGUAAAGGGCAUGUAGGCGGGAAGGAAAGUCAGAUGUGAAAGACCGGGGCUCAACUCCGGAAACGCAUUUGAAACUCCCUUUCUAGAGGGUAGACGGCGGAAACGGAAUUCUGUGUGUAGCGGUGAAAUGCGUAGAUAUACAGAAGAACACCCGUGGCGAAGGCGGUUUCCGAGUCUACACCUGACGCUGAGGUGCGAAAGCAAGGGGAGCAAACAGG
rnacentral:misc_RNA from 1 species